rnacentral:rRNA from 1 species
UGCGUAGGCGGGUUGAUAAGUCAGUGGUGAAAGGCUACCGCUCAACGGUAGAAUUGCCAUUGAUACUGUCAAUCUUGAAUACAGUCGAGGUGGGCGGAAUGUAACGUGUAGCGGUGAAAUGCUUAGAUAUGUUACAGAACACCAAUUGCGAAGGCAGCUUGCUAGACUGUUAUUGACGCUGAGGCACGAAAGCGUGGGUAGCGAACAGGAUUAGAUACCCUGGUAGUCC